AUUUCUGCGGCGGGAUGAGCCCCAGGAUAACCUCCGCGAGCAAGCCACAUCGUCCUCCUUCUGGGCUUUCAGGCGCUUGGGGCUGCUGGGCCCUCCAGAACGCGACGCAGACCUCUGAGCUGGCCGGCUGGAGGGGGCCACAUCACAGGGCUCCCGGAGGCAGCUGCGCUUGCGGGGACACCCUUCCGACGUGCUGCUCCAGUUGUGCUUGACCUUGCCCCGCUCGGACGCCAUGGGCACCUGCAAGUUCUCAAGGUUUCAGAGAUGCCAAACCGUGUUGGAGAAGUCAAAGCGAUCCAAAAUUGACUAAAGGCUGCCGUCGGUUUCCAAGCCCACAACGUGCUUCUGAGAUCAGGAAGCCUUCACUUUGCCCAGCGCUACUUCGGAGAUGCCUAAGCGCUUCCGGGGCUACGAAGCGCUUUGAUCAGUUUGCAAUAUAAAGCCCUUUAGAACUGUCAAGCGCUUCAGAAGACCACAUGGCGCUUCAAGAUCCACACAUGGCUGCCGGAUCCGCGGCCCCGGGGCCGGGCGCUUAGCCCGUAGGCCAGGGCC
rnacentral:lncRNA from 1 species